UACAGAGGGCUCAAGCGUUGUUCGGAUUCAUUGGGCGUAAAGGGCGCGUAGGCGGCGACGUAAGUCAGGUGUGAAAUUUCGGAGCUUAACUCCGAAACUGCAUUUGAUACUGCGGUGCUUGAGGACUGGAGAGGAGACUGGAAUUCACGGUGUAGCAGUGAAAUGCGUAGAUAUCGUGAGGAAGACCAGUGGCGAAGGCGGGUCUCUGGACAGUUCCUGACACUGAGGCACGAAGGCCAGGGGAGCAAACGGG
rnacentral:rRNA from 1 species